GUGGUGGUGGUGGUGGAGGAGGAGGAGUAGGUGGAGGCUUAGGUAAGAUUUUCUUAAGGGAAUUACGCCUUUCAGGGGUAGGAACACGAUUACAUGUAGGUUGAAGGACCGGCCGGCCAUUGAUCUUGGCCACUGCCGGAGUUAUCUCUACACCGAUGGUCACCUUAGCCUUAGAGCUGCACAUAUUUUGCUUAAAAAUUAAUAUAUGGUUAUAAGAAAAUUAGAGGGAAAUCAGAAGGAGAAAGGGAGAAGAUGGUGAUGAUGAGAGAUUGAAGGAGAGAGGCUGUGGG
rnacentral:misc_RNA from 1 species